CAUCCAGGCGGGGCUUGAAGAUCUCCAGAGAAGGGGACUCCACACCCUCCCUGGGCAGCCUCUUCCAGGGCUCUGCCACCCUCACCCCAAAGAAGUUCUUCCUCAGAUUGGAGUGGAACUUCCCAUGGUCCAGCUUGUGCCCGUUGCCCCUCGUCCUGUCNGCCAAAGCAGGGUUGCCCAGAGCACAUCACUCAGGAGCAUCCAGGUGGGGCUUGAAGAUCUCCAGAGAAGGGGACUCCACACCCUCCCUGGGCAGCCUCUUCCAGGGCUCUGCCACCCUCACCCCAAAGAAGUUCUUCCUCAGAUUGGAGUGGAACUUCCCAUGGUCCAGCUUGUGCCCAUUGCCCCUCGUCCUGUCACUGGGAACCACUGAAAAGAGUCUGGCUCCAUCCUCCUUCAACCCACCCUUUAGAUACUUACAAGCAUUAAUAAGGUCUCCCCUCAGCCUUCUCUUCUCCAGGCUAAAGAGUCCCAGCUCUCUCAGCCUUUCCUCACCAGGGAGAUGCUCCAAUCCCUCCAUCAUCUCAGUUGCCCUACGCUGGACUCUCUCCAGCAGUUCCCUGUCUCUCUUGAACUGGGGAGCCCAGAACUGGACGCAGUAUUCCAGUUGUGGUCUCACCAGUGCACAGAGUAGAGGGGCAGAAUCACCUCCCUCCACCUACUGGCCCCNCCCAGCUCUCUCAGCCUUUCCUCACCAGGGAGAUGCUCCAAUCCCUCCAUCAUCUCAGUUGCCCUACGCUGGACUCUCUCCAGCAGUUCCCUGUCUCUCUUGAACUGGGGAGCCCAGAACUGGACGCAGUAUUCCAGUUGUGGUCUCACCAGUGCACAGAGUAGAGGGGCAGAAUCACCUCCCUCCACCUACUGGCCCCACUGGAAUUAAUGAUGGAAUUAACCUGCCAGACGAGGAAGCCUCAGAGCACACAGCAAGGCGCUGGGAUUACUGCAGGACCCGCUGAACGCACCGUUCAAAAGAGCAAAUCUCCCCCGAAACCAACACAGCCGCAAAGACAGAGC
rnacentral:lncRNA from 1 species